GCCGCGGUAGCCCAACCUUGGUAGAGGCGCUGCACUCAGAAUGCAGAGGUUGCGGGUUCGAAUCCCGCCCGCGGUA
rnacentral:tRNA from 1 species